AUACGUAGGGGGCGAGCGUUGUCCGGAAUGAUUGGGCGUAAAGGGCGCGUAGGCGGCCUGUUAAGUCUGGAGUGAAAGUCCUGUUUUCAAGAUGGGAAUUGCUUUGGAUACUGAUGGGCUUGAGUGCAGGAGAGGUUAUCGGAAUUCCCGGUGUAGCGGUGAAAUGCGUAGAGAUCGGGAGGAACACCAGUGGCGAAGGCGGGUAACUGGACUGCAACUGACGCUGAGGCGCGAAAGUGUGGGGAGCAAACAGGAUUAGAUACCCUGGUAGUCCACACUGUAAACGAUGAAUGCUAGGUGUAAGAGGUAUCGACCCCUUUUGUGCCGGAGUUAACACAAUAAGCAUUCCGCCUGGGGAGUACGGCCGCAAGGUUGAAACUCAAAGGAAUUGACGGGU
rnacentral:rRNA from 1 species